CUUGGCGGUUAUAGCUCAGGUGAAACACCCGUUCCCAUCUCGAACACGGAAGUUAAGCCCUGACGCGCCGAUGGUACUGCGUGGGCGACUGCGUGGGAGAGUAGGUUGCUGCCAAGU
rnacentral:rRNA from 1 species